rnacentral:rRNA from 1 species
AUUGAACGCUGGCGGCAGGCCUAACACAUGCAAGUCGAGCGGAUGACGGGAGAUUGCUCCUUGAUUCAGCGGCGGACGGGUGAGUAAUGCCUAGGAAUCUGCCUGGUAGUGGGGGACAACGUUCCGAAAGGGGCGCUAAUACCGCAUACGUCCUACGGGAGAAAGUGGGGGAUCUUCGGACCUCACGCUAUCAGAUGAGCCUAGGUCGGAUUAGCUAGUUGGUGAGGUAAAGGCUCACCAAGGCGACGAUCCGUAACUGGUCUGAGAGGAUGAUCAGUCACACUGGAACUGAGACACGGUCCAGGCUCCUACGGGAGGCAGCAGUGGGGAAUAUUGGACAAUGGGCGAAAGCCUGAUCCAGCCAUGCCGCGUGUGUGAAGAAGGUCUUCGGAUUGUAAAGCACUUUAAGUUGGGAGGAAGGGCAGUAAGUUAAUACCUUGCUGUUUUGACGUUACCGACAGAAUAAGCACCGGCUAACUCUGUGCCAGCCGCCGCCGUAAAAC